rnacentral:rRNA from 1 species
CCUACGGGUGGCAGCAGUGGGGAAUAUUGGACAAUGGGGGCAACCCUGAUCCAGCCAUGCCGCGUGUGUGAAGAAGGCCCUCGGGUUGUAAAGCACUUUCAGUGAGGAAGAACGCCUGGUGGUUAAUACCCAUCAGGAAAGACAUCACUCACAGAAGAAGCACCGGCUAACUCCGUGCCAGCAGCCGCGGUAAUACGGAGGGUGCGAGCGUUAAUCGGAAUUACUGGGCGUAAAGCGCGCGUAGGUGGCUUGAUAAGCCGGUUGUGAAAGCCCAGGGCUCAACCUGGGAACGGCAUCCGGAACUGUCAAGCUAGAGUGCAGGAGAGGAAGGUAGAAUUCCCGGUGUAGCGGUGAAAUGCGUAGAGAUCGGGAGGAAUACCAGUGGCGGAGGCGGCCUUCUGGACUGACACUGACACUGAGGUGCGAAAGCGUGGGUAGCAAACAGGAUUAGAUACCCGGGUAGUC